rnacentral:rRNA from 1 species
UACGUAGGGUGCAAGCGUUAAUCGGAAUUACUGGGCGUAAAGCGUGCGCAGGCGGUUAUGUAAGACAGUUGUGAAAGCCCCGGGCUCAACCUGGGAAUUGCGGUUGAAACUAGUCGACUAGAAUCUGGCAGAGGGGGGUGGAAUUCCACGUGUAGCAGUGAAAUGCGUAGAGAUGUGGAGGAACACCGAUGGCGAAGGCAGCCCCCUGGGCUGAGAUUGACGCUCAGGCACGAAAGCGUGGGGAGCAAACAGG